CGCCGGUCGCCUUCCUGUGCCCCUGGGGCCUCCUCUGCCGCCCGUCCGGUAAGAGGGGAGCUGGCACCGCCCUGCCCUGCCCUGCCCUGCCCUGCCCGGAGCACUGAGCCCUGGCUGGACCUUCCGCCCCACUGCGAAAGGCGGGAGACCAUUCAAACAGGCAAGGCGAUAAACUUCUCAGCCAGGCGGAGUCCAGCGCCCCUCCUUCCUCCGCCCCACAGCGCCCCGGCUCCGCCGCCUUCCCAGCGGCACAGCUUUGAAGGAGAAACCCGGGCUGGGGGAAGCAGAGGAAGAGGGGCCACUCACUUGAUGAAGAAGACCCUCCCGCCGCCGUCCACCCCGUAGGUCCACCGGCCCGGCAGGUCCAGCCAGUCGAUCUCCUCGGCCAUCUCCGCGCCCCCGGGCGCCGGGCUGGCAGCGGCUCCGAGGCUCGCGCGCCCUCCGGGCCCGGCGGUGACCGUGGCCUCCGCGGAAGCGAGUUGGCCCAGUCGGCGGCCCGGCGAGCGCCGCGCAGACACCGCCGCCCUCCGGAGCGCUCCGGGCCGCUCCCGAACUUUAAUGACCGGCAAUUAGCGCGGGGCGUAAUUACGCGGGGCGCUCGGCCGCCGCGUCCGUCGGAGCCGGGCGCCCCAGGAGCGCAAGUCGCCGCCGCCUCUCGGAUCCCACACUGGCGGGCGGCGGGGCGGGGCAGGGCCGCGCCCGGGAAGGUAACCGGGGCCGGGAGCCCGCGAGAGCCUGAGUCACGGCCGAGGGGCACGGCCGGCCUCCCGGGGACAGGGCAGCGGCGCCCGAGCGGUACAAAGGUCAGGCGCUCGCUCCGGAGGGGGAGGCAGGGGAGGCCUGACUGCCAGCAGCUUCCCGCUGAGACGCCCAGCUCGCUAGUUAGGCCGGUCCUCGCCUCUCCUUCCGAGCACCUCCUCCAGGAAGCCCGCCGUGACUCCCUAGAGUCAGGGAAGCCCUAGGGACAAUUCAGAAACCAGCGCUGCGUCUCUCCAUCCUGUCCCCUAACACACCAGCAGUGGAGAGAAAUGAACUGUGCCGAUGCCUUCAGGCUGAUUCCUGGCUGCCAGGAGUAAGCUGACUCCAUUCCCCACAUGCAGAAGAGAAAGCUGAAGCCCAGAAUACCCCCGCUGCAUCCUCCCUGCUCAGCUCCCACAAACUCCACAUAGAAAGCGGCAUUGGAUGGAAUCGAACUUGGGAGCUUUCGAGGCAGGCAGUGGAACCUCUGAGCUAAGUCCCCGGCCCUUAGUUCCUGAAUUGGGGGAGUUCAGAGGGUCAGGGGAGCAGACUCCUUGGCCCCGAAGCCCCCAGCUUGUUAACCAGCUACAAGAGUCAUCCGGCUGAUAAAGCAUGGCCACCUGCCCAGCCCUGUGCUAUCCAAGGAUCGAAACCAGCACAGCUGCUGCCAAGAGGCCUGCACAGAAAAUACCAGCAGCCAGUGCUUCCCACCCCCAACCUGAACAACCAGUAUGGGCAGCUGCUGGGGCUGCAUGUGGGUGGAAACCAGGCGGAACGAUGCGUAU
rnacentral:lncRNA from 1 species